GGCGUGGUUCCCGAGCGGCCAAAGGGAGCAGACUGUAAAUCUGCCGGUUUAUACCUUCGAUGGUUCGAAUCCAUCCCGCGCCACCA
rnacentral:tRNA from 1 species